CUGCUACAGGAGAAAUUUAUCUGUUUUGCAAAGGAGCGGAUUCUUCGAUAUUCCCCCGAGUGAUAGAAGGCAAAGUUGACCAGAUCCGAGCCAGAGUGGAGCGUAACGCAGUGGCUGCAGGAGAAAGCUGCGGACACCAUCGAGGCCCUGCAGAAGGCCGGGAUCAAGGUCUGGGUUCUCACGGGAGACAAGAUGGAGACGGCCGCGGCCACGUGCUACGCCUGCAAGCUCUUCCGCAGGAACACGCAGCUGCUGGAGCUGACCACCAAGAGGAUCGAGGAGCAGAGCCUGCACGACGUCCUGUUCGAGCUGAGCAAGACGGUCCUGCGCCACAGCGGGACCCUGACCAGAGACAACCUCUCCGGACUUUCAGCAGAUAUGCA
rnacentral:sRNA from 1 species